AGUGUGAGGGCUGAGGGGGUCCCUCAGUGUGAGGGCUGAGGGGUUCCCUCAGUGUGAGGGCUGGGGGGGUCCAUCAGGGUGUGUGAGGGCUGGAGGGGUCCCUGGUGGUUUGUGAGGGCUGAGCGGGUCCCUUUCCCCACACCGGAGCCGUUUUACCUGCCCAUAGAGGAGCUCUGGCGAAGACGCCCCUGACAGAACAUCACCUGUAGCAACACGGAAUGUCCGCACCAUCGAGAGGAGCCGCUUGGUGUCACUCCUCCAUCGUUAGAGCUGUGUGGAGCGGAGGAAACACCGGCACCGUGUUGGCGGUCGGUGUCUCCUGUGGCUGCAUUGCUGGAGGCAGCAGCUACUGCACACCUGAGUUUGGAAUCGCCUUCCCCUCUGCUUCCCGUGCCUGCAGGAUGCAUUUCAGUGCCCAUCACCAUAUUAUCCAGGCGCCACCGUAAGAUUAAGGAGCUCUGCAGUGACAUUCUCAACGUGGUCUGUUCAAAGGUCAUUAGCAGAACCUUCCACACUGGAAAAGCCUGGAGGAGAGUACGGAAGUGACCGCCAAGGAGAGGAAGAGGAGCAGGAGGCAGCAGCCUGGUGGAGCCAUUUUAGUUGUGCUCACACCAUGUGCUUUGCUCGGCUGAGCCGGAGCCCAGGGACCUCGGGGCAGCUCCUCUGUGCUGCUGCAGGGCUUGUUGGACACUCCUGUCACCUCAGAGCAUUGGCCCACAUGGCCUCAAGAUUGCUGCCCCUGUGCCAUUGCUGUGCUGGGGCUUUAUGACUUCUGGAUCUUCCAGCCUCAGAGCAGGAUAUUCCUCUCACAAAUCCCAAGCAGAGAGCAAGCCCCACACCUCGGGAACCAUCUUCUCCAAGUGAAUAUAUUAGUUAAAGUUUCAUUUUUCUCGUUGUGUGCAAAUCCUCCCAACUGUUCGCGUUUGAAGAAACCAAAAAAGGGUGUUUUGCUAUGUACACAAAGCUACACAGGACCCACAGAAUCAGGAGAGGUGAUUUUACCCCGGGGGGCCCUGUCCUGCUCCCCAUGAAGCUGAUUGCUGCCAUAUCUCCAAGGACAGCCUGGGAACUCGUGUUCCAGAGAGGUGGCACGGCCUGGACCCUGCUGCUCCCGUUUCAAGCAGCGCACUGGAUAUGGUGCAACUGUGAGGGCACAGACGGGAUAGGGGAUCCACACACGAAACCAAAGGGGACCCACCGGGCGGGACGUGGCUCAGGAGGAAAGUGAGAGACGUGCAGGGGAACGUGGAGCCCAGAGUUUUUCAAUCUGUGGGGUAAGUUUGGGAAGGAAGACUGAAUCUUGAUGUCCGUUUUAAUUAAAGACACCCACCUUGGGAAUCAAACUUAUAUUUUCACUCUCUUACUCCCACAUUUACCUGUCUACAAGCUGGUGAUUCAUCCCCAGAAUAAAGGACAUUAAUUUAAAACAAAACAUAUAAUUAAAGGAAGUAGGAGUGUCCUCGCCUCAGUAAAGAAGACCCAGCACUGCAGGGAAAAUGACACUGCCUCUUAGAAUAAUGUGAAGCAAUCCUGCGGUGUGGGAAAUAUUGUAACGUUAAGCCAGAGGAACAGGUAUUGCAUUAUAUGAUUCAAACAGUCAACUGUUCUUAAUGUUCAAACCUCAGAAGUCUGAAAAGAGGAAGAAUUCAAGAAUCACUCAGUGGAUCAUCGGACUUUUUUUUUUUAUUUGCUUUUUCUGUUCGUGUUUUAAUAGGAUUUUUUUUUCCAUAACAAAAGCCCCCUAACAGGUUUUCAGGCCUCAAAUAUUUCUAGUUCCAUCUUUAUCUAUCAAGUUAAUCUUUGGUGAAUGCACCAGAGAUUAAAUUGGAGCUGGGCCUGGCCAGAGAGCUGGGUCUGGAGGUUGUAGUUGGAGCCCAUACCUUCAUAAAUACAAACAUCUGUAUUGGGUGCAAAUACUGGCAAGUUGCAGUGAGCCAGGGCUUGUUCUUCUGGCUGUUUACUCCCUCAUCCUGCACCUUUAUCCUGCAUUCUGAUCUGGCAGUUACAUCCAGCGGCUGCCCUAACUGGCCCUUCCAACCGAACUCUUAAAAUCAGUCUCAUGUGCUUCCUACCUCCAAACUGUCUCAGGGACCCACAGGCAGAAGGUCUCCUGCGUGGUGACCUGCUACGUGCACUGUUGGUCUCUCUUGGCCAGUCGUUGGCUAAAAUCAAACGCUAAAUCUGGUUGGUGAAAUUCCUGAACAGCUUUUCAAGAUAUUUUUGGAGAUCUAAAUUUGCCCUCUUCGAAUUUCUGCCCUAUUCUCUGCUGCUCUGCAGCAGAAAGUUGUAUUCCCGCCUGGGCUGAUCUUCCCCAACAAAAUAAAAUGCCUGUGCAACUGUCAUGUGAAACAGAUUCUAUCAGGGAUGGUGUGGCCCACACCUGCUUUCCCGGCCAGUGCUGAGUAAUCCCGCAGUCACCGGGAUCACAUGGCAGCUGGGUGGUAAUUCAGGUUGGAUGCCCAGCUUGUCCCCUCCUUCCCUUCUCCCCUUCACCUCCCUGCUGUACCUGGAUGUCUUUAAACUUCCUCCAGCUCACCUCAAAUCCCAACAUCCACUCUCGUGUAGCCAACAUCCAUUCUCAGCUUCUCAUGGGAACCUUGUUGGCGGGACUAACCACUUAUCCAAAACCCCAGCAUUCAGCAAGCAGGUUUUGAGCUAACUCUGGUCUCUUUUAAAUUGUUUCUGCACUUGUCAUAACAAAUGCAUGGCCAGAAGUGGGGGUUUUGAGAUGGGAACAGGUGCAGAGCAAGGCUCGCACCGCAGGAUUGAGAGGAGGUCUGGGCACACCAAGCUCUGUCUCUGCAAGUGCCUGGCUUGGCCUGGCCAGAUAUGCAGAGGCUGCUAAUAAUUGUCCUGGAAAACCUCCUCAGAGAUGCUUUAGAUAGGAAAAGAGAUGCAGACAUUCCUGGCGAAAGGAUCCAGGCACUGGCAGCAGCCCUUCCGCAGCUUGUCUCCCAGAAGAGCCAUUUUCGACUGAAAAGCAGCACUUCUGUGAAAAGCUCCUUCCUACUACUGAUUUCAUGGAUUUUUUUUCAGAACUAUUCAGUUGAGGAAGGGGACAGCAUAACUCACAAAUUACUCAGUAAGAACAUAACAUUUUCGAGGAAAAAAAAAAAUCUGAUGCAAUAGCAUCCAGAUUCCUCUACAUUCAUGGGUGAAACAAUACAGAAAUGAGAAGAGGAACAGGAGGAGACCAGCGUGGUGAAAAGGUGGAGGGAAGAAUGUAAUCCUCACUGCUCAUCUCUGUCAUGAAUUAAAUUCUGCUCUCCAGUUUGCCUUUUGUACUGUAGAAGCCACAGCUUUCCAGCUCCAGGCUCGGACCUACAAUAAAGCAUUGCAGAGGCAUUUUCUUCCUGGAAAUUGUCUUCUUUUCCAGGAUUUCUUGCAAGCUUUCUACUUCAUGCACUUCAGGUCUGCAGCAGCUGUCCCUGGAAUGACACCAGUUUUGGGGGGAUGCUGUUAGUUUAGUGGUGAUGGCUCAAACACUGAAGUGUUUGUCAGAAAGUCUAUGGACUGAGGGUCAUGUUGUAGAAAGAGGCUGGCUGAAACUUCUGAUGCUUCUUGGUGCAGUUUUGUCCCAUUUAUUAUUAUUAUUAUUAUUAUUAUUAUUAUCAUUAUCAUUAU